rnacentral:rRNA from 1 species
GAUGAACGCUGGCGGCGUGCCUAAUACAUGCAAGUCGAGCGAACAGACGAGGAGCUUGCUCCUCUGACGUUAGCGGCGGACGGGUGAGUAACACGUGGAUAACCUACCUAUAAGACUGGGAUAACUUCGGGAAACCGGAGCUAAUACCGGAUAAUAUAUUGAACCGCAUGGUUCAAUAGUGAAAGACGGUUUUGCUGUCACUUAUAGAUGGAUCCGCGCCGCAUUAGCUAGUUGGUAAGGUAACGGCUUACCAAGGCAACGAUGCGUAGCCGACCUGAGAGGGUGAUAGGCCACACUGGAACUGAGACACGGUCCAGACGCCUAAGGGAGGCAGCAGUAGGGAAUCGUCCGCAAUGGGCGAAAGCCUGACGGAGCAACGACGAGUGAGUGAUGAAGGUCUUCGGAUCGUAAAACUCUGUUAUUAGUGAAGAACAAAUGUGUAAUGAAAUAUGAACGUCUUGACGGUAACUAAUAAGAAAGCAACGGCUAACUACGUG